UUGAACGCCAGUCAGUUGGAGUGUGAACUGCGUAGAAGAUCAUCGGAACACUUUCUCCGAUUUCAAACGUAAAAUGCCUUCGAGAUUUCGGUAAUCAAGUCAAAACUGCUGCAGCAGAAGCGGUGAUGUACCAUGAGGCCGGUCUAUGAGAUGUGAUAGCGAGAAUGGUUGGUGUCAGUCUGCACAAGGACGAGGACGCAGUGCUAAGUUUGCACCGAUAGAAUGACCAAUUGCAUUCCUCGCGACUGACUCGCGGCAUCAUUCCAUCGAUGUAACAAGUCCCCUGUCCUACUUCUCCAACCCACGGGACGAGGCCGCCAUGGAGACGAAUGUUAACUGUGGUCCAAGGGCACUCGUAUAUCAGGAUGAAUACGUGUAACAGUUUUAAAUGCCCUAGGAUAGAGUGUUCCGGGAAAGAAUGAUUGAUUUGCGCUUGAAGGUCAAGAGUCUCAGUAGACCCAUACCUUCGCCUGACAACAAUGAAUUGUGAAGGACCCUUUUUCCAGAUGAACAUUCAAAAUUGCUACACCGGUACGCGUGCCACCUGUUGCCGGAGUUAGAGCCUGCUGAUCUUCUUGUUGGAACAAUCUUGUGUAAAACAUCUCUCAAUAAUGUUUGUAUAUCGACAGAUCAAGACACCAUUGUGUCAGUAAGAUGAAUAUUUGAAUUUGUCCUGAACAUAUAUCAAAUAACGAAUGGAAAGUUUCACAAGAAAGGUUGUUGUUUGUACAUUUCAUCAUAAGGCCCCGUUCAUGAUCCAUGACAACAUUUGACAAUGGAGACAAUUUUCAUUUGAGAUUGAACAUCCUCGUCGGCCAUUGCGACAUUUGCGGUCGGAUUCAAAUACGAUUCACAUUGUCACGAUGUCGUGUUUCUCAUGUCACUGGCCUAAUAUCAUCGUACAAUGUGGCGCAUUAUCGCCCACUGCUGGGACUUUGUCUUGGCACGAUCUUCACUUUGGAAUAAACUGAUCAGUUCAGGGCAGCCUAACAUGUCAUAUGAGUUGUCUGUCCUAUUCAUAAACUACACAAACUUGAUCUUUAUUAUGCACUCAGCAGAUUAAAUCCAAUACUUGAAUAAAUUUCAAUAAAUUUCGUGUUUGA